ACGUAGGGGGCAAGCGUUGUCCGGAAUGAUUGGGCGUAAAGGGCGCGUAGGCGGCCUGAUAAGUCUGAAGUGAAAGUCCUGCUUUCAAGGUGGGAAUUGCUUUGGAUACUGUCGGGCUUGAGUGCAGGAGAGGUGAGUGGAAUUCCCGGUGUAGCGGUGAAAUGCGUAGAGAUCGGGAGGAACACCAGUGGCGAAGGCGACUCACUGGACGAUGACUGACGCUCAGAUGCGAAAGCGUGGGUAGCAAACAG
rnacentral:rRNA from 1 species